rnacentral:misc_RNA from 1 species
UUCUAUGUAUUAGAUUUUGUUGCUUGUAUCAUGAGCAUGCUAAUACCAUAGAAAAGAUUAAAAAUCCAAAGAAGUGGCCCCAUAUGACCACAUAAUAAGCAGAAAUACGAAGAUCUAUGUUCAUCACAUACAUAAACACGCUAGUCAUAAAUAUCUAUAAGAACACAACUACACUGCCCUGGGCAUGCAUUAUUUGAAUACCACUAAAGACCCAGCAUGCUUCAUCCAUUACGCUGCUGCCACCUCAGUAGCAUGCUUUGCAAUGGUCUGCUGCAGUUCCUCUUUCUUGGCACCCACAACCU